rnacentral:lncRNA from 1 species
ACGCUUGGGAAGGAGCAUUGUGAUGUCAUUGAGUGGGCCGUUGUGAUGUCAUGGGGCUGCCAACUCCUGAACAUCUGGAAAAUAAUCCAAAUCCAAACUCUGCAGAAUAAAUCAUGCGAAACAGGAAAAUCACACAGUUGUGCUUAUUCAGGAUGCAGAAUCCGACUUCUCUUAAUGCAGAAUUUAGACUGAUCGCCUGAAUGAGGUUUUGUUUUGUUUUGGGGUUUUUAUUGCCAAAAUAUACACACUGGCAGUGGAACGGGGGGUGGAGAGAGCGCAUCGCCCCCAGCACCAUGCCCCCGUGGGCAGCAUGCCACACCCCCAGAAUGAACACCAUGCCCCUGGGGUGCGGGCCAGCCACGCCCCCGCCUGCUCUCCGCCCCCAGGGCCGGAGCAUGCAGCUUUGCCACUGGAUAUACACCCUGCCCCAGACCCUCCCAGUGUCCCUGUUUUCCAGGGACGUCCCAGAUUCACAGAAGCCCUCCCGGUUUCUGAUUUGAUCCCAGAAUGUCCCGCUUUUCCUUAGGACGUCCCUAUUUUCACCGAAGAAACGUUGGAGGGUAUGGUAGGAUGUGCCCUUUUUCACUGGAGAAAUACUGGAGGAUAUGGAGUCGUCCAACCGCCAAGCCAUUUAAAGGGAAGUUUUUCAAUGUUUACUGUUUUAUUAUGUUGUUGGGAGGUGCCCAGAGUGGCUGGGGCAAUCUAAUCAGAUGGGGGGGGUUAUAAAUACUAAUAUUAUUAUUAUUACGGAUUAGGACGUCCCUAUUUGUAUCGGAGAAAUGUUGGCGGGUUGCAUAGUCCUGGGUUCCAUCCCAUCUUAUUUCCAGGGCUUUUUUAUUGUUGCACACAAAUGCUUCCAAGACACCUAUAGUUUCUGGCUCUCUGCCGUCUGUCCUAAUGAGGCAGAGAUGGCUCCUGCUUCCCACCCGUCCACCCCCAUCAGCCAAGACACUUGUUGCAAGCAAUUUGGAGUCAAUUGGAUGAAAAGGAAUAAAUAGGUGGCUGUAGCAGUUUGUGGAUGGCUGACUCGAGGCCACAGGCAAUGAUUAGAAGGCUUUUCAGGCCCACAGCAAGGAAGGGACUUAAAUUUGUCACAGUUUAGCUCCAGAAAGCGGGUGAAUGUGCUGGAGGCUCGGCUACCUCUCGCGCAGCCUCUUGUAUUCCCUCAGGAGAAAAGAGAACCCCACGACUCUACUUUUUCCCCUCCGUCUCCAUUUUCAAAAGGCAUCUGAACUUUAAAGCACAUCUGCUCAGCUUUUCCAUUCUCUCAUCUAAAUAAAGCAGCAGCCCAAGAAAGAAAAGAUGUUUUUUAAAAGGCAUUCUUGGGAAAAAAGCUAAAAAAGAUGGGGGGAUUAUUGUCACACAAUAUAUAUAUAUCCUGCCCUGACACCAAAGAGCACAGCGGGGUCUGCAUGGAGGUUACUGUGUUUUAUUGGGGCUUAAGGUAAAAAAAAAAUUAAAAAGGGACGCGGGUGGCGCUGUGGGUUAAACCACAGAGCCUAGGACUUGCCAAUCAGAAGGUUGGCAGUUCGAAUCCCCACGAUGGGGUGAGCUUCUGUUGCUUGGUUCCUGCUCCUGCCAAAAGUUCGAAAG